UGUAACGCCGCGCGGGAAGGUUAUACGCCCGCCGCUUCUCCCGCUGUAUAAAACAACUGAAACAUUGUGAUUUUCGGACCCCCUCUCCGCCCCCCUCCCUCCCCCCGUCCUCCACCAUGGUCUCCAACAAGGUCCUCGUCCUCAUCGCCGUCCUGGUGGUGGUGGUCAUCGUGGCGGUGGUGUUGGCAAUCAUAUACGGCCAGCCUUGCGAGGGGGAUGACUGCGAUGGCGGCGGAGGGUCGUCGUACCGUAGAAAGAACUGGAGUACCGUGCGCAAGUGGACAUCCUCGAGUAGGAGUAGGUCGUCCUCGGGGAAGAGCAGCGGGUCGAGGCGAGGUUAGCGUGGGGAUGAUGGAGGCGGAGCGGUAUAGAAAACGGGGUUUGGGAGUGGCGGGAAAAUGGGAAUCGGGGCUCGGUUGGGUGAUUAUAGAAAACGGGCAUUAAGUAGGGUUAGCGAUGACAGAAAACGUAAACUAAACAAAAAUCAUGAGAAAUAAAAAUGUUGUUUACGAGGAUUAUUUCCGCUCAAAAUAUACAAGCAAACUCUUAACGGUUGGUGUCGAAGGAAACGAGAAUUUAGAAGGAUGAUGACAGAAUCGGGAAUUACUGAAGAUUAGUGAUAACGGAAAAUUGCAAUCAAGAAAAUUGGGCGAAAGCAAAUAGAGAGGAAGAAAAAAAAAAACACAGUAAAGGGCAUACAUAAAAGAUAGACAAUAACAUUAAGGAAAUUGUUAUCAAGAGAGAGAGA